UGGCUAUGAAGAUAACUCUUGAACAUGAAUUACUGUGAUCAUUUUAUACGCUAUUCUGAGCCAACA
ensembl:snoRNA